GAUGAGGUUUCUCACCACCUUCGAGUGGUUAAGGCCCCCUACAGACCAUGGGGUUGAUAGGCCAGAACUGUACGCCUAGUAAUAGGUUCAGGUGACUGGUACUAAUCGGCCGAGGACUUACAACAACACUCAAC
rnacentral:rRNA from 1 species